rnacentral:rRNA from 1 species
GACGAACGCUGGCGGCGUGCUUAACACAUGCAAGUCGAGCGGUAAGGCCUUUCGGGGUACACGAGCGGCGAACGGGUGAGUAACACGUGGGUGAUCUGCCCUGCACUCCGGGUAAGCCCGGGGAAACUGGGCCAAUACCGGAAAUGACCCCCCAUCCCAUGGGGGGGUGGGGAAAGGAUUUUCGGGGCAGGGAUGGGCCCGCGGCCUACCAGCUGGUUGGUGGGGUAAUGGCCUACCAAGGCGAGGACGGGUAGCCGACCUGAGAGGGGGACCGGCCACACUGGGACUGAGACACGGCCCAGACUGCUACGGGAGGCAACAGGGGGGAAUAUUGCACAAUGGGCGAAAGCCUGAUGCAGCGACGCCGCGUGAGGGAUGACGGCCUUCGGGUUGUAAACCUCUUUCAGCAGGGACGAAGCGCAAGUGACGGUACCUGCAGAAGAAGCACCGGCUAACUACGUG